CCCGGGCCUUGUACACACCGCCCGUCACACCAUGGAAGUUGGUUGCACCAGAAGUAGGUAGGCUAACCGCAAGGGGGCCGCUUACCACGGUAGGAUUCGUGACUGGGGUG
rnacentral:rRNA from 1 species